rnacentral:sRNA from 1 species
AAAAAAAAAAUCCAGUCAAACCGGAUUUAACAUACAAUCAGACCGGGAAAUAAUUUAAUUGAGGGCUAGUUAAUAAAUCUCAUAUAACAAAAAAUUUCGAAAUUUUAAAAAUAAAUCUGCCAAAAAAAGUCUGUUAUUACUAAAAAGGUUAUUCUAGUCAUAAACAAAUCGGCCAUAACAUUGACAUGAGUAAAUCUGUUAUGCUUUGACACUGAAAAACAAAACUGUCAUCACUAAAAACAAAUCUGUUAUCACUAUGUGACUGUGUAGUAAUUUUUUUUUUUAACAAAAAUCUGUUGUAAAACACCAGAUUUGUUAACAAGUUAAUUAAAUCUGUGAUUACACAAAACAACUCUGUCAUGCCUAUAUAACAUUUUUCGAGGUUAACAAAUCUGUUAUAACACAACAGAUUUUUGGGUGCAAAUAGAAAAUCUGUUGCCACCAUAAAGAAAAAUCUGUGGUCCGGAAAACAAAUCAGUGACAGAUUUGGUUUCAACAUUCUUACUUUUGAAAUUUAAAUAAAAUCUGUGGAGACUAUAUGAAACAAAUCAGUCACGGUUAAAAAAUCUGCGAAAAAAAAAAAUCUGGCGUAACAUAACACAGUAAAGUCUGUGGUACAAGACAAGUCUGUUGUAAAAAAUCUGUGGUUGACCAACAAAUCUGUGAUCGAUAACAAAUCCGUCGCAACAAGAGCCACAGAUUUACCAAAAACGACGAUGGCAUUUUCGUAAAUAAAUGUGGUUUUAUUGCCUUGCUGGAAUUAAAGAGUAAUGGCAUUUCUGUAAUAUUAUUUUUCUCUGUAAAGGAAAACAAGGAUAAUUUAGGUAUAAUUAUUACUCAAAUAACUCAUAUUUUUAGCAUUCCUUUUGGGUCAUUAUGUAUAAAAUAUGGGUUACUCUAGUAAAUUUCUCUAUAAUUUAUUUAUAAAAUUUAUUUAGUUUUUAUAUAUAGUAUAAUAAUG